rnacentral:rRNA from 1 species
GUGAGGAAUAUUGGUCAAUGGGCGGGAGCCUGAACCAGCCAAGUCGCGUGAAGGAAGAAGGAUCUAUGGUUCGUAAACUUCUUUUGCAGGGGAAUAAAGUGCAGGACGUGUCCUGUUUUGUAUGUACCCUGAGAAUAAGGAUCGGCUAACUCCGUGCCAGCAGCCGCGGUAAUACGGAGGAUCCGAGCGUUAUCCGGAUUUAUUGGGUUUAAAGGGUGCGUAGGUGGUUUGAUAAGUCAGCGGUGAAAGUUUGCAGCUUAACUGUAAAAAUGCCGUUGAAACUGUCGGACUUGAGUGUAAAUGAGGUAGGCGGAAUGCGUGGUGUAGCGAUGAAAUGCAUAGAUAUCACGCAGAACUCCGAUUGCGAAGGCAGCUUACUAAGCUACAACUGACACUGAAGCACGAAAGCGUGGGGAUCAAACAGGAUUAGAUACCCUUGUAGUCC